UCUCAGACGAUGAUAAGGGGUAUUAGUUUCGAAGAUGUCAUACAGAGAGCCGGCGCUAGGUGCAAGUCGGUUGACGAUUUGGGAUGAACUCGCCUUGGAGUAAUGAUGUGAAACGCAGAACAUCUGCGCGUAGGAUCAUCGACUUACCCGCGUUAAGGGUGCAAAGUGAGUGGGGAUAAAGCAUAUUUCCCGCUAACUAGGGUGGUACCACGGGAAUUCAAACCUCUCGUCCCUAGC
rnacentral:ncRNA from 1 species